AUGGCCCAGGGCAAGAAGAAGGCGGCGGCGGCGUCCAAGCCCCGCAAGCCGAAGCAGCGGGACGCAGCGGAGAAGAAGAUGGGGAAGAAGGCCGACAUGUCGGAGUUCAGGGCGCAGCUGGGCUCCUUCGGGCUCAAGAUAGUCGAGGUCACCGCAGACGGCAACUGCUUCUUCAGGGCGAUGGGCGACCAGCUGGAGGGCGACGAGGGGCAGCACAUGAAGUACCGGGAGAUGGUUGUGCACUACAUCGUGGAACACCGCGAGGAGUUUGAGCCCUUCAUCGAGGACGAUGUGCCGUUCGAUGACUACUGUGACUCCAUGAUGAAGGAUGGGACUUGGGCCGGCAAUAUGGAGUUGCAGGCGGGAUCUCUUGUCACGGGAAGAAACAUCUGCAUCCACAUGCUUAACUCACCACGGUGGUACAUAAACAACUUUUCUGGUCGUGAAGCUAGCAAUAUGGUUCACUUAUCUUAUCAUCACGGUGAGCACUACAAUAGUGUCAGGCUUACUGAAGAUCCAUGCCAAGGUCCUGCAAUGCCAGUUGUUAUCAAGACAGAUUCCAAUGUAGCCAGCACGAGCAACAAUGCUCAAACGAAAGCUAAAGACUCGAAGAAAUCUUCAAACAGAUCAGCCUAUGAUGAUACAUCAGUUAAAAUGGUCAUGGCCGGAACUGGCUGUUCUAAUGUUGCUGCUGUUCAACAUGUUUUGGGUGAAAUGGAUGGCGACAUCGAUUCUGCUAUUGAGUACAUGAUAGCCGAGCGACAUGCGGCGGCCUAUGAUGAUACAUCGGUUAAACUGGUCAUGGCUGGCACUGGAUGUUCUAGUGUUGCUGCAGUUGAACAUGUUUUGGGUCAAUUGGAUGGCGAUGUUGAUUCUGCUAUUGCGUACAUGAUAGCCGAGCGAUUUGCAAUGAGUUCUGAUAAUGUGGACGGAGAUCCUUAUAUGGACUAUGCGGGAAAUGAGUUUGUAUAUUCCGUAGGAGAUGAGCUUAAGCUUAGCACAUCCCAGAACGAGGACCAAAUGGUUGAACACAAGGAAGAAGAAAGUUGUUCUAGUAAAGAUGAAGCGGUUCAGGAAUCCAAAAAUCCACAUGCUAAGAAGGAAAACUCAAAAACGAAGGAGUGCUCUUGUGGAUCUGCAAAGAAGCACAAGGCUUCUUGUAGUUUAGCCACGGCUGUACCGUCAAGAGAACCUCCAAAGAACAAAGGCGGUGGCCAAGGGAAGGGCCAGAAAGGGAAGGCGAAGCAAAAGAAGAAAGAACAAGUCCAGGCAGCACCCGUCAAGGAACGCAAGUCUGCAUUACCUGUGCCAGACCUAGGGGCCCUGUGCAUAUGA
rnacentral:rRNA from 1 species